GCUCUCCUCUCCUGCUAAGCUUUGUUUCCUGGCAGUAAUCAAAACCUUCUGCCACUGCCACAGCUACUGCUGCUGCUGCUAGAACCACCAUAGCCACCUUGGUUUUGUGGUUUGUCAAAGUACUGGUCUCCACCACCACAGGGGCCACAGUUUCUGUCUCCAAAAUUUCCUCGUUUCAUGGGUCCAAAAUUUGAAGACUUAUUUUUGUAAUUGCCAAAAUCAUUAUAGCUUUCCACCUCCAAAGUUGCUUCCAUCAUCACCAAAUCCGUUAUAGCCAUCCCCACUGUCACCAUAUCCACCACCAUCUUGACUGCCACCAAAGCCACCUCACCCACUGAAGUUUCCUCCAGAACCAAAGCUGUCAUUCCUACCAAAACCACUUCCACAACCACCACCAAAGUUUUUAGAACCACUUCAACUUCUUUUGCUGGAUGAAGCACUAGCCAUCUCCUGCUUAAAUAGAGCUUUCCUUACUUCACAGUUGUGGCCAUUCACAGUAUGGUAUUUUUGAACAACAAUCUUGUCUACAAAGUCAUGGCCAUCAAAUGUUACAAAAGCAAAGCCUCUCUUUUUGCCACUGCUUCAGUCAGUCAUGAUUUCAAUCAGUUCAAUUUUCAUAUACUGUUCAAAACAAUCUCUUAGAUGUUCUUCAUGUAUCUUCUUUAAUGCCACCAACAAAAAUCUUUUUCACAGUUAAGUAGGCACCAAGUCUUUGAGAAUCUUCUCUUGAGACAGCCCUCUUUGGUCCUACAACUCUUUUUUUUUUUUUUCAACGUUUAUUUAUUUUUGGGACAGAGCAUGAACGGGCGAGGGGCAGAGAGAGAGGGAGACACAGAAUCGGAAACAGGCUCCAGGCUCUGAGCCAUCAGCCCAGAGCCUGACGCGGGGCUCGAACUCACGGACCGCGAGAUCGUGACCUGGCUGAAGUCGGACGCUUAACCGACUGCGCCACCCAGGCGCCCCUGGUCCUACAACUCUUAAUCCACCUUGUGUGGCCUUGCAUUCAUGGCUGCAUCCACCUCUUCCACACUGGCAUACGUGACAAACCCAAAGCCUCUGGAUUGCUUGGUGUUUGGAUCUCUCAUUACCACAAAGUCUGUAAGCAUUCCCCAAUGUUCAAAAUGGCUCCUCAGACUCUCAUCA
rnacentral:lncRNA from 1 species